rnacentral:rRNA from 1 species
GGCACUGGUAGAGGAUGGACUUAUGGCGCAUUAGCUGGUUGGUGAGGUAACGGCUCACCAAGGCGACGAUGCGUAGCCGACCUGAGAGGGUGACCGGCCACACUGGGACUGAGACACGGCCCAGACUCCUACGGGAGGCAGCAGUAGGGAAUUUUCGGCAAUGGGGGGAACCCUGACCGAGCAACGCCGCGUGAAGGAAGAAGGAAUUCGUUCUGUAAACUUCUGUUAUAAAGGAAGAACGGCGGAUAUAGGGAAUGAUAUCCGAGUGACGGUACUUUAUGAGAAAGCCACGGCUAACUACGUGCCAGCAGCCGCGGUAAUACGUAGGUGGCGAACGUUAUCCGGAAUUAUUGGGCGUAAAGAGGGAGCAGGCGGCGGCAGAGGUCUGUGGUGAAAGACUGAAGCUUAACUUCAGUAAGCCAUAGAAACCGGGCUGCUAGAGUGCAGGAGAGGAUCGUGGAAUUCCAUGUGUAGCGGUGAAAUGCGUAGAUAUAUGGAGGAACACCAGUGGCGAAGGCGACGGUCUGGCCUGUAACUGACGCUCAUUCCCGAAAGCGUGGGGAGCAAAUAGGAUUAGAUACCCUAGUAGUCCACGCCGU